AGAAAAACCUCAAGAACUCCGCCAGACAGCCCGAAAAACUUACAACAACCACUAUAGUGAAAUGCUCAAGCAGUUUUCAAGGCUUUGAGAUGGAGGGAGUAGCCCUUGCAACUAGCAGAAUUGUUCAAAAGGAUUCUGUUUGAUUUUUAACAGAAUAAAAAUAAUAAGGCUUUUUAGGGACAUGGUGAAAAUUUGUUUGAAAUUUGUCAGUGUUUUGAUGGUGAUUACGGUAAUUCUUUGCAGAUUAAGUAACAAUACAGCAAGAUAAGUAGUGUAUAGAAUUGGAGUCAGGUUAUAAUCCAGUGGACAAAAUCCUGUUGCACAGUUACACAAAAAUCAUAGCUUUUAGAGACAAAUUACAGUACACUACAUUAAGAAAUCUCCCUAGGUAAUAUAUGUUGUAUCCUAGGUCACAUGACUUGGCAUACAAGAGUUAUUGCCUUCAGAGACUUCUUAAUAGCAGUUCUCCUCUAAGUUGCACCUUUGGGUAACUAUGUGACAGAAUUUUGAUUAUAGUAUUGGGGAGUAAGCCUCGCUGAAUGAGAUGGGACCUAAUUGUAAGUAAAUAAAGGGCUACGCUGUAGGAUUCUUUGUUCCAAAUGAAACCAACAAUCCUACUGUUCAUCUAUUUGCUUAUUUAUAGUUCAUAUUUUUCCUCAUAAGAUACUUCAUAUGCUUUAAUGCAACCCAUGAUCAAAGAAGCAAUGACUAAUUUUCCUUUUGAAAAUAUAAAACCUAGUUCUUUAUCACAGCUGUUUUUGUACUGGCAAAUCAGAGCACAUGAGAGAUGAGCAAUAAAGAAAACAUGGUAAUUGUGAAUGUAGAAGAUAUGCUAUAGAACUCAGAUUGGAUAUUCAUGUUUGUUAUCAUGCAAAGCAAAAGCAAAGCGUGCUGCUGCUUGGUAAACAAUCUGAGGUUAGGAAGCUGCACAAAUUAUCCAGAUAAAUGGGACUGAACCUGUGUGUCUAUGUGAAUUACAAAAAAA